ensembl:lncRNA LINC00665 long intergenic non-protein coding RNA 665
GGGAAGUGUGAGUCCUCAGUCUUGGGCUAUUCGGCCACGUGCCUGCCGGACAUGGGACGCUGGAGGGUCAGCAGCGUGGAGUCCUGGCCUUUUGCGUCCACGGGUGGGAAAUUGGCCAUUGCCACGGCGGGAACUGGGACUCAGGCUGCCCCCCGGCCGUUUCUCAUCCGUCCACCGGACUCGUGGGCGCUCGCACUGGCGCUGAUGUAGUUUCCUGACCUCUGACCCGUAUUGUCUCCAGAUUAAAGGUACGACAUUUGGAGGCCCCAGCGAGAAACGUCACCGGGAGAAACGUCACCGGGCGAGAGCCGGGCCCGCUGUGUGCUCCCCCGGAAGGACAGCCAGCUUGUAGGGGGGAGUGCCACCUGAAAAAAAAAUUUCCAGGUCCCCAAAGGGUGACCGUCUUCCGGAGGACAGCGGAUCGACUACCAUGUGGGUGCCCACAAAAAUUCCACCUCUGAGUCCUCAACUGCUGACCCCGGGGUCAGGUAGGUCAGAUUUGACUUUGGUUCUGGCAGAGGGAAGCGACCCUGAUGAGGGUGUCCCUCUUUUGACUCUGCCCAUUUCUCUAGGAUGCUAGAGGGUAGAGCCCUGGUUUUCUGUUAGACGCCUCUGUGUCUCUGUCUGGGAGGGAAGUGGCCCUGACAGGGGCCAUCCCUUGAGUCAGUCCACAUCCCAGGAUGCUGGGGGACUGAGUCCUGGUUUCUGGCAGACUGGUCUCUCUCUCUCUCUUUUUCUAUCUCUAAUCUUUCCUUGUUCAGGUUUCUUGGAGAAUCUCUGGGAAAGAAAAAAGAAAAACUGUUAUAAACUCUGUGUGAAUGGUGAAUGAAUGGGGGAGGACAAGGGCUUGCGCUUGUCCUCCAGUUUGUAGCUCCACGGCGAAAGCUACGGAGUUCAAGUGGGCCCUCACCUGCGGUUCCGUGGCGACCUCAUAAGGCUUAAGGCAGCAUCCGGCAUAGCUCGAUCCGAGCCGGGGGUUUAUACCGGCCUGUCAAUGCUAAGAGGAGCCCAAGUCCCCUAAGGGGGAGCGGCCAGGCGGGCAUCUGACUGAUCCCAUCACGGGACCCCCUCCCCUUGUUUGUCUAAAAAAAAAAAAAGAAGAAACUGUCAUAACUGUUUACAUGCCCUAGGGUCAACUGUUUGUUUUAUGUUUAUUGUUCUGUUCGGUGUCUAUUGUCUUGUUUAGUGGUUGUCAAGGUUUUGCAUGUCAGGACGUCGAUAUUGCCCAAGACGUCUGGGUAAGAACUUCUGCAAGGUCCUUAGUGCUGAUUUUUUGUCACAGGAGGUUAAAUUUCUCAUCAAUCAUUUAGGCUGGCCACCACAGUCCUGUCUUUUCUGCCAGAAGCAAGUCAGGUGUUGUUACGGGAAUGAGUGUAAAAAAACAUUCGCCUGAUUGGGAUUUCUGGCACCAUGAUGGUUGUAUUUAGAUUGUCAUACCCCACAUCCAGGUUGAUUGGACCUCCUCUAAACUAAACUGGUGGUGGGUUCAAAACAGCCACCCUGCAGAUUUCCUUGCUCACCUCUUUGGUCAUUCUGUAACUUUUCCUGUGCCCUUAAAUAGCACACUGUGUAGGGAAACCUACCCUCGUACUGCUUUACUUCGUUUAGAUUCUUACUCUGUUCCUCUGUGGCUACUCUCCCAUCUUAAAAACGAUCCAAGUGGUCCUUUUCCUCCUCCCUGCCCCCUACCCCACACAUCUCGUUUUCCAGUGCGACAGCAAGUUCAGCGUCUCCAGGACUUGGCUCUGCUCUCACUCCUUGAACCCUUAAAAGAAAAAGCUGGGUUUGAGCUAUUUGCCUUUGAGUCAUGGAGACACAAAAGGUAUUUAGGGUACAGAUCUAGAAGAAGAGAGAGAACACCUAGAUCCAACUGACCCAGGAGAUCUCGGGCUGGCCUCUAGUCCUCCUCCCUCAAUCUUAAAGCUACAGUGAUGUGGCAAGUGGUAUUUAGCUGUUGUGGUUUUUCUGCUCUUUCUGGUCAUGUUGAUUCUGUUCUUUCGAUACUCCAGCCCCCCAGGGAGUGAGUUUCUCUGUCUGUGCUGGGUUU